UACGUAGGGGGCAAGCGUUGUCCGGAAUCAUUGGGCGUAAAGAGCGUGUAGGCGGCCCGGUAAGUCCGCUGUAAAAGUCAAAGGCUCAACCUUUGAAAGCCGGUGGAUACUGCAGGGCUAGAGUCCGGAAGAGGCGAGUGGAAUUCCUGGUGUAGCGGUGGAAUGCGCAGAUAUCAGGAGGAACACCAAUAGCGAAGGCAGCUCGCUGGGACGGUACUGACGCUAAGGCGCGAAAGCGUGGGGAGCAAACAGG
rnacentral:rRNA from 1 species